rnacentral:rRNA from 1 species
UGGGGAAUAUUGCACAAUGGAGGGAACUCUGAUGCAGCGACGCCGCGUGAGUGAUGAAGGAAUUCGUUUCGUAAAACUCUGUUCUAUGGGAAGAAAAGGACUGUACCAUAGGAGAAAGCUCCGGCUAAAUACGUGUCAGCAGCCGCGGUAAUACGUAUGGAGCGAGCGUUGUCCGGAAUUAUUGGGCGUAAAGGGUGCGCAGGCGGCUUUACAAGUUGGAUGUGAAAUAUUGUGGCUCAACCACAAACGUGCAUCCAAAACUGCAAAGCUUGAGUUAAGGAGAGGUAAGUGGAAUUCCUGGUGUAGCGGUGGAAUGCGUAGAUAUCAGGAGGAAUACCGGUGGCGAAGGCGACUUACUGGACUUAAACUGACGCUCAGGCACGAAAGCGUGGGGAGCAAACAGG